UUUUUAUUUUCUUGCUUUUUAAAAAUCUUCUGUGUGUGGGUGUUGUGGCUGAGCACACGUCUAGGUGCACUGGUGUGCCUGGUGCCUCUGGACGCUAGAAGAGAGCACCAUAUCCUCUGGGACCAGGGUGACAGCUGGCUGAGAGCUGCUGUACAACUGCUGGGAAUUGAACCCAGGUCCUCAGGACGAGCAGCCUGGGGUGCUAACCACUGAACCAUCUCUCCUGCCUCUAACUUUUGUUUUAUUGAGACAAAGUUUCUCUGUGUAGCCAUGGCUAUCCCAGAACUCGCUGAUCUGCUCCUCUGCCUCUCGAGUUCUGGGGGUUAAAGGUGUGCACCACCAAGCCUGGCCUUACUUUUUUUUUUAAUAAUGAAAAGUGUGGCAAUUGACACAUGAAAUUUUCUGUAACCACCUGAGAAGGUCUCACAGCAGGAACCUGUCCAGGUUAAUAAGGAAUCAGUGAUUGACAGAUGAGGCCUCAGAAACUAAACCAAAAUCCACCUUGCUGGGGAUUUUUCAGAACCCCAGAUUUUCCUUCAAAUACAAAUUGGACCCGGAGGGGUGGUGUGCAACUGUAAUUCCAGCUCUUGGGAGGUAGACACAGAAAAGCCAAAAGUUCAAGGUCACCCUCAACUGCAUGAGACCCAGUCUCAAAAAAAAAAAAAAACAAAAAACAAAAACUCAACAAAACAAAAGCCAACAAAGGGGAUGCCAAGAUGGCUCAGUAGAUAAAGGGGCUUGCUGCCAAGCUUGACAAUCUGAGUUUGAUUCCUGGAACCCAUGGUGGAGAAGGAGAGAACCCAUUCUCAAAGCAUAUUCUCUGACCUCUUCAUGCCCUGUGACACAGGCACAUGCGCACACACUAAAUAAAUAAAUAAAUAUCAUUUAAAAACAAUACAAUAUACACUGCUUUAAGAACUCCAUAUGUUUAGAGAAGCCCUUGUGGGAGGGAGGUGGCUGGGAAAAUCUAGAAUGAUGUCACCGUGCCAUUUUAGAGUAUGCCUGACACGUCCCAGCAGGUGGGACAAUGAAUGUCUUAUGAAGGACUUGUAAGUGUGAAAGCCCUCAGACCAGGAGAGGAAGUGCUCGGCCCCACCAAGGAAAAUGACAAUAUGAGAACUAUUUGCCAUAGGCCAUGACAUAGAGGGCAGAAGACAAUGAGAGCUGGGAUCUGACGUCAGGCAAACCUUGCUUGAAAAAGAGCUGGAACCCUGGGUUCAUUCGCCAGGGCAUUCGCAGUACAUGGUCUGGGACCAAUGAGAGCUAUCCAACUUGGCUCAGGAAACCCUUUCGGGAGCUGAAGGCAGAGCCAGGAAGGGCCUCCCGGAAAGGGCCAGGCAUCUUUCACACACAACCAGCCCAGAGGGCGGCCAGUGGCUGAGCCUGUCCGUCUGGAAUGAGAGCAGCGUUUCCUGGAACAGUAAUGUGGCAGGCCAGCCAUGUGAUGGCUUCAGCCCUUACCUCAGCAUCCCAGGCAAGACACAGCACUUGGCUGGAGACUCCUGCUAUCUCCCUGUGUCCCAUCUAAAGAGCAACAAGGCUUUGUUAUUUCACAAACAGCAGCUCCAUUGGUCUAAACAAGGCAGAGCCCAACUCAAUCCUCCCAGGGCACUUCCUCUCUGCAGCCCUGGGCCAACCAAGCUUGCCUUCCUAAUAAGGAGAGGCCAGCCAGACCUAACAAACUACCCAGAGCCCAAACUUGGCCCAGCCCAGCCCAGGAGCUGCAACCCAGGUGGGUGGGACAGGGCCGGCUGUGACGGGCAGCUCCCAGUCUCUUACAGCCCCACCUAGUCCUAUCUGGCAUCAGUAGGUACAGUUGGCUAAGUCCACAGCACGGAAGAAGUCGAGGCCAGGAAGCAAAGAGAGAGAGCAACCGUAUUCCUGGGAGGCAGCAUCACCCUGCUGGCGGAGGGCCACCAACAAUAAGGAAGUGAGUUUCAUUUCAUGGAAACGAAUCUCAUCCCUUCGCUGCACACCAGCAGAGACAGGACCUGUUGUCUUGGGUGAGCCAAAGCUUCUGAGGUCCGUGUGUAUAUCUGCACAUACAUGUACGUGGUGUGUGCACACAUGUGUGCAGGAGAUGGGAGGGGGAUAAUGGGUGUCCUGCUUCAGCACUCCCUUAUUCCCGGGAGACAGGGUCUCUCAGAGAACCUGGAGCUAUGCUAGCAGCCAGCAAUCUUGUUUCAACUGCCCACGUGGCUGAGGUACAGGUCCGUGCAACCAGGUCUAGCUUUUACACUGGAUGGAUACCGAGGACUCAAACACAGCUCCCCACUGCAACACCUCCCCAGUCCCAAGAUCCUUCUUUGAUUUCCUGCCUCGGUGAAAAGCAAGGACCAAGUGUAUCUUUCGGAAAGGGGGAAAGCAGCAACCAGCUUCCAUCACGUUCCAGGUUUCAAAAGAGGGAAACUGAGUCACAGACAGCAAAUGCUCACAUAAAAGCCAGGGGAAAGCUGUCCGUAUACCUGUGACCACAGCAUUUGGGAGGUGGACGCAGGAAGACCAAAUGUUUAUAAAGUCAUCCUUUGACAACACAGCAAGUUCAAGGCCAGCUUGGGCUACAUGAGACCCUAUCGGAAAAAAGAAAACAUGAACUCCCAAGUACUGUGUGACAGCUGACUGCUUCUGCCCAGGACCACCGCCCAGGACUGUCAUCCUGUCCCUCCCUGUCCCCUUAUGCUCAGCCUUUCUUGUUCUUUUUUCUCCUUGUCAUACUGCACCCACAUGUAUGUUAAUUUGCAUAUAUGAAUAUGCUGACGAGAUACAGCACAUGACAGAGAGCAUGGAAUUCUUUCUGAAAGUCUGUGGCCUUGCUUAAUGGUCUAUAUUCUAAGUCCAUCCAUUUUCCUACCAAUGUCUUUAAUUUUAUUUUUCUGAAGGUAGAAUAGUAUUCCAGUGUUUGUGUGUCUACCAAAUUUCAUUAUCCAGUCAUCUACUGAUGGGCAACUGUGUUGAUUCCAGAGCUUUGCAAUCAUGAACAAAGAAGCAAUAAACGUGGGGUUACAAAUCUCUCUA